UACGAAGGGGGCUAGCGUUGCUCGGAAUCACUGGGCGUAAAGGGUGCGUAGGCGGGUCUUUAAGUCAGGGGUGAAAUCCUGGAGCUCAACUCCAGAACUGCCUUUGAUACUGAGGAUCUUGAGUUCGGGAGAGGUGAGUGGAACUGCGAGUGUAGAGGUGAAAUUCGUAGAUAUUCGCAAGAACACCAGUGGCGAAGGCGGCUCACUGGCCCGAUACUGACGCUGAUGCACGAAGGCGUGGGGAGCAAACAGG
rnacentral:rRNA from 1 species